GUGACAAGCCGUCACCUGUGGCCACAGGAUGUCACGUGACAAGCCGUCACCUGUGGCCACAGGAUGUCACGUGACAAGCCGUCACCUGUGGCCACUGAUUUCCUGAAUCUGAAUCAAAUUAAUUUGGUUCACAAAGUGAAGAUUCAGUUUCCGGUUCCAUUUCAUUUGAUUUAAUAUCGACUGACACCCAAAAAUUAAAUUCGGCCAAUCCUUAUGUUUGUUACAUUUGGUUAGCUGAGCAUGCCACACAUGACUGUUUUGGUAAAUCAUGGAAGCGAUAAGCACUGAAGUGGCGGUGAAGAAAGGGACAGAUCAGUAGCCACACCACAGAGAGUCUGGAUAAACAAGGUGAAAAGACAUUGAUGGUCUGGUGGUACUUUUUGUAGUUAAAAGUCUGCCACUUAUAAUAAACAAACGAGGAUAUGCUGAAUUGAUCCGGGCUACUAACUUCUGGGCAUCACAAUUCAAUUCAACUCAAAUAACUUUAUUUGUCCCCGAGGGGCAAUGCGCAUCUCCGUAGUAAUUUGGUGUACUACUAAUCUAUUCAUCUGCUUAUCUAACUGUGGCCGUAUGUAGACGUCCAUAUAGUACCAAAAAAUUUACGUUCAUACGAAUUUUUAUGGCCAUUAUCUAAAGCUCUGAAAUUGCAUUGCAUUUGUCGGCAGUGAUUUGUGUCUGACGACACGCAUAAACAUGUUUUUUGUUUUAUCGAUAGUGCUAUAAUAAGUGCAAAUAUUUCAAAUAAUUGCCCUAUCUUCAACGGAGCAGCUUCCGCCAUGUCUAUCUGUUUUUGUCUGCCAGAACUCGUUGCACAAGGAUGGUCACAUGAGACUGACAGGGUUAAAGCGUUGCAAAUCCAUGGGAAAAGGCCAUAGACUGUAAAAGGCAUAUUACAAAAUCAAUCCCUGGAUCUUAUGAAAAGAUAUUGGAUUAUGCAAAUUAAGAUCUAUUUGAAUCAGGAGAUCAUUUAAUUAAUUUAUUUAAGGCCCAGCCCUAAUCCUAUACAGGUAAACAGUAAUAUGAGAAUUCCUCCAGGACCACUGAGCAAACGGUGACUGCGGGAUGGUUUUCACAAUACUUCCAGUGUAAAAACACAGGACACUGUGACAUGGGGGCUGGACAUGAGGGUUUGUAUAAAAACUGCAUUGAAAAUUGUAGGUAAACAAAAAAAUAAUGCAGCGCAAAAACGUGGGUGUCGUUCUUGGGAAUGGGCUGGUGGUUAGGGGGACUGCUGAUGUCACACUUACUUUUUAUGCAUUGUACGGAAAUUUGUGAGUCAGAAGACCUUGUGGUAUAGCUGCUUUUUAAUUUGGUGUUACUCGGCUUGUAAGAAUUUGUGCAAAGCUAUUCCAUUGCUUGCAGCGUUCAGCGUGUUGAGGGAAAAAUCAAUAGACCCUGGAGUGACAGGCUGUAUUUUCGAUUCCACGCGCUCAGCUCCAGUGGUGGAUGGUAACGAUUGCGUUUGAUUGCGGUCAAAGUGUUUCACGUUUACAGCCAAUUCAUGCAGAUGCUACUGGCCAUUGACCAGGGUCAGAGUGUGGCACCAGCUAAUAUUUCCCAUGCUGUAGGCACUGAGGAAGCUGUAAGUGGCUUUUCUUCCAUUUUCCAGUUCGUCUUUAAUCUCCCUGGUCGUUUUUAUGCCACUGGCUUGUUCAGAUUCAAAGCAUACUCCGGAUCCAGACCUGGUUCUGAAGUUCGGCCCGGUGGACAGCACGUUGGGGUUCCUCCCUUGGCACAUCAGGCUGACGGAGUUCAUCUCCUUGCCCUCCCACGUGGACGUCUCCUACGAGGACUUUUUCAGUGCACUACAGCGCUACGCAUCCUGCGAACAGAGGCUGGGCAAAUGAGGCGUGGCUCCGCCCAUUGGCUGUGACAGGAAGUGGAGCCCCCGCAGCCGCAAGCACCCGCCUCCUGUCACAUCUCUGCCCCCUACACCCCUGCCCCCCCCCUGCCUCCACGGCCUGGAUUCGCUCCCCAAAACAGGCAGAGACUCUCCGGUGUGAAAGUGACUCGAAAGGGGAGCGGACACUGACUGGAAUGAAUCGGUUUGGAAAGAGGGAAAAUUCUGGAAAGACGGUCAGCAGUAUGGCACACACACUUCAUAUAGGCUUUUUUUUGGGGGGAGGGGUCUAUUUCAUGUCUUUCAAUGGCAAAAUUAGAAUUCCAUUCAACAUACCUUGGUGCUCUCGAUAAAGAGAACUUUCUGUGAUCAAAUAAGGCACAUUACGUCAUACAUGCCCUGCGGGAACAUUUACAUGAAGAAGCAGCCGUUUGUAAACGUGUUCUACAAAUUAUUUGCUUUUUUGUUCCCGUCCGGUCUGACGUCCCAGGUGGAUUGUCCAUGCAGUCCCACAACAAGAGCACUAGGCCUACUGGUGAAUGCUGUGCAUGUCUCAGCCCGGCGGGGGCGAUGAAAUCCCAGCCGUCCAGUGUCUUAUCACAGAAGCGAGUAUCUGUGCCUCGCAGCACUCGGACCUGCCUCUUCCCUUUAUCGCAUGCUCUCCUGCGCAUUUCUUCGUUGUCGUCGGCGUCCAUAGUGAAAGAGCAGAAAUCUUUUAUUUGCCACCGUUUAUUUAAAAAAAAUGGGUCAUCCGAGCCAGUGCGACAGUAACUAACGUCAUAGCGUCUUGCCUGUAAUUCGUGGCACUUAUUAAAACCUGAUAGAAGCAUAACGCAGUUUGUAUUUCGUCCCCAUUUUUGGUUGCAGUCCAUGCGUCCUAUUUGUUCUGUUGUUCACACGUUCAGACACGGGUAAGAAGUGGGUUCGAUGAGCUGGGCAGCUAAUUUCUCGUUAUGCUGCAUAACGCUUACGCUUAUAGCCCGGCCGUGCCGUCGCAUCGACAGGCUAUCCACUCCCAUAACCUUAAAGACAAAGUAUUUCUGCUCUGUGUCAUGUUGAAGGACACCCUGGACAGUAUGUUUCUAACUUGUUACCCGUUAAACUAACAAGGGGCGGAAACUAGAUUUCAAAAUAUGGGGAGAGGUAAUGUGAAGUGGUGCGCAGUCUGGCUUUUGUAAUUGUUCAUGUAAUUGCAUUGUCGUGAUCGGAAUACAUGCAUACUUUUUAAUAUAUUUAUCGUGAGCAGCCCUACGGCUCCGUAGCAGCCGGUUUGGCUUAACGGCAAUCGGAGGGUGUUCGAGGCGGGGUGGGGGGGGGCGUGGUUUGGUCCCAUCGGUAGCAGCUUGAUUUUUACGGUUUUUGCGUACUUUCUGUCUGGUCUUCCGACACAGGUGCUUCUGUCUGUACGCGGUGUGUCUCAUUAGGCCUGUCACGCUUUUAUUUUCGAUAAAUACCUCGACAUCCGUGUCACUCUUCGUAGUACGCCAUUCGCUUUUUAAGGGAAGACGCUUCUGGCCGAGACCAAAGGCAUGUCUAUUAGGAUAGCUAAAAUCUGAAAUUGGCUUUGAAUUGUUUGUCUAUGAUAAAUGCACAGAAGCAUUCGGUUCGGAUUAAAUGCAUGAAUAGUUGCCUUCCAUUGUAUUUGGUCUUCGCCAACCAUCGAAUUAAAGCAGAGGUCUAAUUGGAGAAGUUACAAAUACAUGACAAAAAUGGACAGAACAUGUAAGCAAAUAAAUCGCCUCCAUGAUUAAUGUGAU